AUGUUUAGAAAGGAUUGGGGUAGU
rnacentral:siRNA from 1 species